CUGGCGGCGUGCCUAAUACAUGCAAGUCGAGCGGAAUGAUGAAGAGGCUUGCUUCUUCUGAUUUUAGCGGCGGACGGGUGAGUAACACGUGGGCAACCUACCUUGUAGAUUGGGAUAACUCCGGGAAACCGGGGCUAAUACCGAAUAAUCCAUUUUGCUUCAUGGCGAGAUGUUGAAAGACGGUUUCGGCUGUCACUAUAAGAUGGGCCCGCGGCGCAUUAGCUAGUUGGUAGGGUAAUGGCCUACCAAGGCGACGAUGCGUAGCCGACCUGAGAGGGUGGAUCGGCCACACUGGGACUGAGACACGGCCCAGACUCCUACGGGAGGGCAGCAGUAGGGAAUCUUCCACAAUGGACGAAAGUACUGAUGGAGCAACGCCGCGUGAGUGAAGAAGGUUUCGGUAUCGUAAACUACUGUUGUAAGGAAGAACACGUACGAGAGUAACUGCUCGUACCUUGACGGUACCUUAUUAGAAAGCCACGGCUAACUACGUG
rnacentral:rRNA from 1 species